AAAAACGUCGAACGAGGAAUUUGAAGAGGAGAUUGCACCCUCUGAGAAAAAAAGCCGGAAGGAGAAAGCCACUGAAUCUCGAGUGUCUAUAAGGGGUCGAAAUACGGCUUCUGGAUCCCGAUAACCUGGUGGUGUUUGUGUUGCAGCUUGUCCAUCUCCAGCCAUGUUUUUAAAGUCCUUCAGAAAUUUAUCGGAUGGAUUGGCUUAGCUGUUCUUGACUGCAAUAUUCUUAUUUGGAGACACGGCUUGGCUGUUUGGGCUGACAGUGAAACUAAAAUAGCCAGAAAUAACAAUAACAAGUAGCACCUCUAAUCAUUAAUUGUAUAAUGCACUUGAAACACAAUGCUGCUUGUUGUUUUAAUUGAUUUUGUUGGGUUCGUCAGUAAUCAGCUGCUCGAUCGCUCGAAAAAAGAAAUGUUUUUGUCAAAA